rnacentral:rRNA from 1 species
CCUGGUUGAUCUUGCCAGUACAAUAUGCUUGUCUAAGAGGCUAAGCCAUGCAAAUGUCAGAACCUAUUUAAAAGAAUCUGUGAACGGCUCAUUAAAACAGCGAUUAUGGGAUCUAAUGGAAUGGACUUUUACGAGUUUAAAUGGAUAACCCAAAUAACUUUAGGGAUAAUACGUUAAUAAUUUUUACCUUCGGGUAAUAUGGGAAUAAUGAUAAUAUGAGUAAUUGUUAUUGGGGCCAUCCCUAAAAAGAUGGUACCCUACCACUCAUGCCUUCUGGGUAUGAAAUCGGAGGACUGGGGUAACCUUGAUAAGUUUCCUGGGUCUUUUAUUUCUUAGAGUGGACGUUUUAUGCAAUCACUUACUUAUCAGCUUUUGAUGUACGGGUAUGGUCCAUACAUUGCUGUAACGGGUCCGGGGGAUAAGUGUCGAACACCGGAGAAGGAGCGUGAGAAGAGGCUACUACAUCUAAGGACGGCAGCAGGCGCGUAAACUACCCAAUUCUAAUUCAGAGAGGUGGUGACAAGAUAUAACGACCUCUACCUUUUUAGGUGGAGGGUAUCCCUUUAAGGGGAUUUGGAAUGGAUGUGUUUUAAAUCAACAUGAGAUUAACAACUGGAGGAAAAGUCUGGUGCCAGCACCCGCGGUAAUUCCAGCUCCAGUAGUGUAUUCUAAUAUUGCUGUAGUUAAAACGCUCGUAGUUUGUAAAGAUUAAUCAAAGGGUAAUUACCGGGAUUUAUUCAGGCUUUAUUAGUGGACUUUAUUAAUCCAUUAGUGAAGUUGGGUAGUUCGAUUUGAAAUACCUAGAGUAAUUCUCCUUGCGUACGGGAUAUAUCCGAGUACCUUUUGGUACGAGGUAUUUAUUCUGUUGGGUAGUUAUACCAAUGAUUCAAUCUUUCUUAUAAUUUUUUAUGGGAAUAACCGCGAACAAAUCAAAGUGCUUCAAGCGGGCAAUGUUUUAUUGCUCGAAUGUUUCAGCGUGGUAUUAAUGGGAGAAUCCUUACAAAUCCAACCAAUUUGUAGGGAUGUUCGUAAAGGGAUGAGGGAGAGGGUUCAAGUAUUUCUCGGUUAGAGGUGAAAUUCAGAAAACCGUGGAGGACUAUCGGCAGCUAAGGCGGUUUUGCCCAUUACGUGUCCGUCAACGAGGAACGAAAGUUGGGGGAUCGAAAAUGAUUAGAUACCAUUGUAGUCCCAACCGUAAACUAUGCCGACAGAGGAUUGGGGGGAUACCUUAUUUAUGAUUCUUCCGGGACUCAAGGGAAACUAAAAGUCUUUGGGUUCUAGGGGGAGUAUAGUCGCAAGACCGAAACUUAAAAGAAUUGACGGAAGAGCACCACCAGGAGUGGAAUUUGCGGCUUAAUUCGACUCAACACGGGAAAACUCACCAGGUCAGGCCAAGUGUAGGAUUGACAGGUUAAAGUCCUUUCUUGAUUACUUGUAUAGUGGUGCAUGGCCGUUCUUAGUUCGUGGAGUGGUUUGUCAGGUUGAUUCCGAUAACGAACGAGACCUUAGCUUACUAAAUAUGUUAUUAUACAC